UGGGGAGUAGCCAAGUGGUAAGGCAACGGACUUUGACUCCGUAACGCGCAGGUUCGAAUCCUGCCUCCCCAG
rnacentral:tRNA from 1 species